CAGGAUGAACGCUAGCGGCAGGCUUAACACAUGCAAGUCGAGGGGCAUCGCGGGUGGCAACACCUGGCGGCGACCGGCGAACGGGUGAGUAACGCGUGAGCAACAUGUCCUCAGUCGGGGGAUAAGCGAGGGAAACUUCGUCUAAUACCCCAUAACACUUUCAGGCGCAUGCCUUUAAGUUGAAAGCUUUUUUUGCGACUUUGGUUUGGCUCGCGUGACAUUAGCUAGUCGGUGGGGUAACGGCUCACCGAGGCUACGAUGUCUAGGGGUUCUGAGAGGAAGGCCCCCCACAUUGGGACUGGGACACGGCCCAAACUCCUACGGGAGGCAGCAGUGAGGAAUAUUGGUCAAUGGACGGAAGUCUGAACCAGCCAUGCCGCGUGAAGGAAGACUGCCCUAUGGGUUGUAAACUUCUUUUGCAGCAGAGCAAUAAGGCGUACGCGUACGCCGAUGAGAGUAUGUUGCGAAUAAGCAUCGGCUAACUCCGUGCCAGCAGCCGCGGUAAUACGGAGGAUGCGAGCGUUAUCCGGAUUUAUUGGGUUUAAAGGGUGCGUAGGCUGUUUUGUAAGUCAGCGGUGAAAGACCGGGGCCCAACUCCG
rnacentral:rRNA from 1 species